rnacentral:rRNA from 1 species
UACGAGGGGGGCAAGUGUUGUUCGGAAUCACUGGGCGUAAAGGGAGCGUAGGCGGAUGUUUAAGUCGGGAGUUUAAAACCGGGGCCCAACCCCGGAGCGGCUCCCGAAACUGGAUAUCUUGAAUAGGUCAGAGGCUAGUGGAAUUGGAGGUGUAGCGGUGGAAUGCGUAGAGAUCUCCAAGAACACCUAUUGCGAAGGCAGCUAGCUGGGACCAUAUUGACGCUGAGGCUCGAAAGCAUGGGGAGCAAACAGG